GCGAGAGUGGCGAAAUUGGUAGACGCAACAGAUUUAGGUUCUGUCGCCGCAAGGUGUGGGGGUUCGAGUCCCCCCUCUCGCA
rnacentral:tRNA from 1 species